UCCUGCUAGGUUGACCUUAAUCCCACACAGG
rnacentral:piRNA from 1 species